rnacentral:misc_RNA from 1 species
AGGACCUUCGUUUCCGCUCUGUCUCUGAUCUGUCGCUCUCUCUCUCUCUUUGUUGCUGUUCCAAAUUUUGAACCUCAACGACGGAUUCUCUCUGUUUCAGGAGCAUUGAAAGCUCUGUUCCUGUAGCCAUUUCUUUCCCUCUUGGAGCUUUCAUCCUCACACAUUUCUCUGCCUGACUUCCGAGCUCGCUUCCAUAAUGAACGAUCUUCUUUCGGAUUCGUUUGAGAUCCCUCGGGGUCAACCUUCUAGAGGAGGAGACAUUGAGCUAGGAACAAAUGUUCCUACUAGUGGAGGGGAUGGCUUGGAGGAUUUCUUUAAAAAGGUUAA